rnacentral:rRNA from 1 species
AUUGAACGCUGGCGGCAGGCCUAACACAUGCAAGUCGAACGAGUGGCGGACGGGUGAGUAAUGUCUGGGAAACUGCCUGAUGGAGGGGGAUAACUACUGGAAACGGUAGCUAAUACCGCAUACCAUCAGAUGUGCCCAGAUGGGAUUAGCUAGUUGGUGGGGUAUCGGCUCACCAAGGCGACGAUCCCUAGCGGGUCUGAGAGGAUGACCAGCCACACUGGGACUGAGACACGGUCCAGACGCCUACGGGAGGCAGCAGUGGGGAAUAUUGGGCAAUGGGCGAAAGUCUGAUGCAGCAAUGCCGCGUGUGUGAAGAAGGUCUUCGGGUUGUAAAGUACUUUCGGCGGGGAGGCGGUACCCGAAGAAGAAGCACCGGCUAACUCCGUGCCAGCAGCCGCGGUAAUAC